rnacentral:lncRNA from 7 species
CCUGCCCCCGACUCCAGGCCAGCUGCCUGAAGGCUCGAGGGCAGGCGGAAGGGGGAAAGCUCUAGAGGACUAGGCUUUCUUGAUAACGAUUUUUAUGUGCUUCUAGUAGGCAUGGCCACACUAAUAUCUCUCUUUUGUUUGCUGUAAACCUGACUUACGCAGGGUCCCGAGAAAAUUGAAGGGAGCAAAAACCGACUAGGCCACCCUUCGAGAGCGCCCCGUCCUACGGAACUAAGCGAACGAGAAGACCUCACUUUCCGGUAAGGACCCGAACCCAUUCAAAUUCCUUUGGCAUGGACAAAAAG